rnacentral:rRNA from 1 species
UACGUAGGGGGCGAGCGUUGUCCGAAGUUACUGGGCGUAAAGCGCGCGUAGGCGGCUCUUUAAGUCGGGCGUGAAAGGUUCAGGGCUCAACCCGAACAGUGCGCUGGAGACUGGAGAGCUUGAGGACGGGAGAGGGAAGCGGAAUUCCGGGUGUAGCGGUGAAAUGCGUAGAUAUCCGGAGGAACACCGAUGGCGAGGGCAGCUUCCUGGCCCGUAUCUGACGCUGAGGUGCGAAAGCGUGGGGAGCGAACGGG